rnacentral:tRNA from 1 species
GGGCGGUUAGCUCAGUUGGUUAGAGUGCCAGUAUGACACGCUGGAGGUCACAAGUUCGAUUCUUGUAUCGCCCA